AGGGCAAGGGAAUGCCAUGUCUCCUCAAAUUGCAGAUUCAGAAUUGUAAGAAAUUAUCUUAAGAAUAUUGCAUCUCUCUUCAGGAGUUGGAGAUUUUUUGUUGUGAUGGAUUGACAAGUCUACCGAGUGGGCUAUCAUCCUGCACAUCUCUUAAGAAGUUGAGAAUCAAGUCAUGCCACAAUUUGAUAUCUCUGGCAGAUCUAGAUGUAUCCAGGUUGCAGUCCCUUUCCUCUUUAGAUAUAUUUAAUUGUGGGAAAUUAAACUAUUUGCCAAUAGAGGGGCUACGCUCUCUUACGCGUUUAGAAUCUAUGAAAAUGGGUCCAUUUUCAGAGGAGCUUGAUUCUGUCCCUGAUUUUGAGCUUCCAUCACAAACUAGCUAGCAGAGUUGGAGCACAAAGCGAGUCUACUCUUCUUCUCUCAUCAGAUUAAUUGUUAAACUAGAUUUUCAGAGCUUUCUACUCUUCUCUAGCCUCUGCUUAAUGUUUUCCAUAUCUUCCUAUAUCCGUUGUUGGUUUGCAGAAGGAUCUUAGUCCAGAGGGGAUGGGGAUGUAUUUGCUAUAGAUCCUUGCAUGAGGUAGGUGGAGGUGUCCAUCAGAUGGAUUUGUGAAGCUGAUCAACCACGAUGUGUCAUGGCAAGCACAAACUGAUAAGGAUGAAACAUGGUGGUUUGCAGGAAUCAUGAGAUAAUAUUGAUACAGGCCAUUAUGUGUUGGCUGCCAGUGGUAGUAAUCUUGUAUGAGCUAGUUCUUUGCUUGUUAUGGCUGAAGAUCACAGGGUAGCCAAAGCUCAAGUCUCUCUACCUCGACAACAAUUUCAACACUGCAUUUGUCUACAAGACUUGUAUAUGAAGGAUUUCGACAGCUUGGAGGCUCCUCCAGAGUGGUUGGGGUAACCUUACAUCUCUUACCCAUCUGAGGAUUAAGGCGUGUGAGAAUCUGGUGUAUCUUCCUGCCAUUGAGGUUAUGCAACGCCUCACUAAACUUGUUACAUGUCCAGGUCUAGGGGGAAGAUCCACCCUCCUGAGCGGCCCAGAAUGGCACAAGAUUUCUCACAUCCCAUGUAUAUCAGGUAAUUAUAUUCUCAAAAGAAAUCCUUCAUUGUUUGUUCAAUUCCCUUCUCACUUUUCUUUUCUUCAGUAUUGACCAAACACCUUUUUUAAUUAAUUGACCCACUCCCACUCCAAAGAUGUAACCCAUUUUCUGUCUUUGAAGAACAAUUCUUAAUCCAUUUUGAUUCA